rnacentral:sRNA from 1 species
ACAAAGAAUUUGCGAAAGCAAAUUUACAGAUCUAACAUUGUUGGGUUGAUGUUUAGACGAGUUGUAUAUAUAUAUUAUAUACAACUCGUCGUCUAAACAUCAACCCAACAAUGUUAGAUCUGUAAAUUUGCUAUAUAUUAUAUACAACUCGUCUAAACAUCAACACAACAAUGUUAGAUCUGUAAAUUUGCUUUCGCAAAUUUUUUGU